rnacentral:rRNA from 1 species
CGUAGGGUAACCUGCCCAAGAGACUGGGAUAACACCUGGAAACAGAUGCUAAUACCGGAUAACAACACUAGACGCAUGUCUAGAGUUUAAAAGAUGGUUCUGCUAUCACUCUUGGAUGGACCUGCGGUGCAUUAGCUAGUUGGUAAGGUAACGGCUUACCAAGGCAAUGAUGCAUAGCCGAGUUGAGAGACUGAUCGGCCACAUUGGGACUGAGACACGGCCCAAACUCCUACGGAAGGCAGCAG